CAUAAAUUUAUUAUAUAAAAUAGACGGUUAAUAUGUUGAUUUUUGUUUUAACUAAAAUCGACGAACUUACCGUCGAUUUUUAUCAACAAAAAAUUAUACCCGCGUUUAUUACCCGCGUCCUUCGUUUCGAUCGAUUUCCCAAACAUUAACCCCAAACCUCCAGAGACUCAAAAGUUCAGAGUGAAGCUGCUGCUGCUUCUUCUUCUCCAACGCUUGAGAGUAGAGACCAGAGACGGAGCCACCGUUACGGAGAGAGGCAGAGAGCAGAUCAGUAGAGCUUCUUCUUCUCCGACGAUUGAGAAAACCCACCGUCCUCCGUCGGAGAGCAGAGCAGCUUCUUCUUCUUCUCCUCCUCCACCGAGCCCGCCGCCGCGCCAUCCUGUUCAUGUAAGUUCCUCUCAGUCUCUCUGAUCAUUAUACUUAUUUUUGCGGUUGUUGUAUCUACUAUCUACUAUUUUCAUAAUGAAAUUCUGAAUUUGCGUUUGUUAAUAACAAUCGCAUCACUAAAACCUAGUUAGCAUAAUCAAUUCAUCACAUUUCAUCAAUCGCUUCGUCUCUCUGUGCCGUUGUUGCUGCUGCCUUCAAUUGACCGUGCUCAAUCAAAAUCAGGUACUCUCUCUCUUUCGUUCUUCAAUUGAUUUUUUUUUCAUCAAUAAAAAAUUUGCUCAGCAUUUGUAGAUGAUUCACUACUUUUCUCAAUGAUAUAGGUCUUCAAUUCAAAGAUUGAUGAAGGAAGAAAGGCAUUGCGGGUGUUAUCACUACUUUUGUUCAUUUUUCUGUGUUAUCCUGCAAUUUUGUAUUCUUUCUUCAUGACUGACAUGGAUUUAUAGGAUUCUUCUCUAUUUUCGGUGUUAGUUCUCUAAUUUUUUAUUAAGUUAGAUUCAAUGAUCAACUAUAUGUAACCUCGUUUUAUGCUGAAGAAAUCUGUAAAGAACUUCAGUUCUCUACACAGGUUUCUUAAAAUGUCUCUGUAUUAUAAAGAAGCAAUCACAUUUAUUUCUUUUUUGUAGCACUUGUGGCUGGUUUUGAGGUAUGCAAUUCUCAAUUUGGAAGUUAUUCAAGCAGCAAUCUCUUUGGCCAAACAGGAAGGUCUUCUUGUUUCUUUGGAUUUGGCCAAUUUUGAGAUGGUGAGGAAAUUUAAGCCACCACUUAUGAAGUUAUUGGAGUCUGGCAAUAUAGACCUCUGUUUUACCAAUCAGGAUGAAGCAACGGAACUUCAAUUGUAAUUUUUUCUGCUGGCUUCUUUCCCAAUCUCGUUCUCUUUUGCUUUAGUUGGAAAAUGUGUAGUUGACUCUGUUGUGAACUGUUUGCUGUUGUGCAUUGAUCACUUGGAGAACAUGACUAACUAUACAAUCAUGGUAGUUUGGUUCACACUGCAGGAAUUCGUUCUCAAGCCAUUGCCUCCCAAUAUAGUGCAUAUCAGGAUCUGAUUCAUGAAGCUUUCUAAAGAAAGCUAGUGUUCUCAUUGCUCUUGCAAUGGCUGCUGGCAUUAGAGGGGUUGUGGCUGGAGAGCUUGAACUGAAUCAUGAAUGCAGUUUGAUGCACUGGUUGCCAGAGGAUUUCGAAUAUAAAUUGCAGGUGGAAAGUGAGAUUGUGUCUGCAUUCUUGAGAGGAAAAGAACGCCAUUUGUUAGAUUUGGACCUUAAUGCCGUACUUGGAUUCAUUGAUGAUUUCUGCAUAUGGGUGAUACUUUAUUUUAAAGACAGAGUUCUCAAUUUGCUCUAGUGGUCUCAGAUAUAGUUCUUAUAAACAUGUAAGUUUCCUUUUCAAAAGUUUUCCUGUAUAGAAAGAAAUUAAGCUUCUUUCCUUUUCGUAUUUCUUUCACUUUAUUAGAACUGUCAAUAGAACUGAAUGUUAUGUUAAGGUGAUUUCAUUCUAUUUGGAUUCAAUUCAUACACGUUGAAUCUUACUUUGCUAUUGGAUUGUAUAAAGAGCUAAAACAUGUAGCAUAAAGGAUUUGCAAAUGAAAUAACAACUUAUUCCUUAUUGUUUUCCUACACAGGUGGAAGAAGAAGACAAAGAAAUAGAUAGCUUUCUCAAAAUACAUUGUAUCUUUCUCAAAAUAUGUCUUAACAACAACUUAUUCUUUAUUGUUAUCCUACAACUGUAUGUUUUAACAUGUAUCUUUCUCAAAAUAUGUUGUUAAUACCAAAUGUGUCUUGCACUCUUGUUUCAGGGUGAGAAAAAGAAGACAGAAUACAAAAAUUGAGAAGUAUUGGGACUGGAAAUUGGCCAAUGAAACAAACCCAAUAUAGAUGAGGCAGCCCCAAGGAAGUCGAAAAGGAAGAGUACAAUAAAUUCUACAGGAAGACUUUUAACAAGUUCUUAGAACCGCUUGCUCAUACUCAGUUCACCACCGAGAUAUUUUGAUUUGAUGAUAUUUUAGUAACUUUUGUUAGAACAUUUUCUUUAGAGAGCUAAUAUUAUAAACUCUUUACAUUCUAGUAACAUGAAUGAAUGAUAUAUUGUAUGUUAGGAAUGAUUCUUAUUUAUUUAUUUAUUUAGAAAUGUGCUUCCCAAAGUGUUGUCUUGACAAUGUUUUAAUUGCAGGUAAGAAUAAUGAAGAAGAAACUUGUCAGACCCAAAGCUCACAUGUUCUGGUAGCUUUACAAGAGUCCUUAUAGAGUGAAAGAUCCAUCAAAAUCAUGGCCAAUUAUUCUGUGGUUACAACUUACAAGGAGGACCUGCAAUAACUACUUAUAUGUAUGGUUUUAGAUUGAAAUAUUGUGAAUAGUAAUAUAUAAUUGUUGAAACAUUUUAAUGAAUAGGGUGCUUCACGAGUUGG